rnacentral:lncRNA from 1 species
CAUUUACAUGGUAGACCAACGAGACACAGUUGCUGUCCAUAAUCCUAAAUCAUUUGUAAUUAUAAAACAUUACUCUUCAUGGGGAGACUAAUAGGAAAUAUUGCCCAGUACCCCAGAUUUCUGUAUCCCGCUAGAAACUUCUCUCACCAGCCUCUGCUGGAUUUAAAGAUGAAAGCCUUUUUGUCAUGGUGCUCCAUGAACAGUCAGACACAAGCAAGAAGUUCAGCCCCAUAAAUAACAGACACACUAGAAAACCAUAUUUUCCCCCUGCCACAUCUGUCAGGAAAAAGGGAAAAAUGGGACAACUACCAAGCUGGCAUGCAGGGCAGUUCCCUGUUCUGCUGGCAGUAUGUUCCAGUAAGAGCCUUGAAAGCUAAUCUCAUUUUCUUGUUAGUUUCCAGCCUCUUGAUCAGUGCAGAUGCGGGACCCUUCAGUACAAUCUCACGACUGGGAUGAGAAGUGGCCCGGAGAAUCCAUUAGGUGUGCCUCGACCUGCCAAAUCAAGCUGCAUGCCAGAUAAUGCCGAUGUGCAGAGAUUUUUGGGGAAUUCCGUGAGCACUGUUCAAGCUGCUGCAGGGUGCAGCACUUGGGUUUUUUUAAUGUGGCACACGCUCUCUUUGAACUUUCUAUUUCCUUGAAAUUUAAUUUUCUGGGUUUUUUUUUCAAGGUACUUCGCUAAAAUAAUAAGGGGCCUGCCCCUAAGCUCCACCUUCAUGUCUCACAGCUCUCCAAACCCCGUGGACUGUGUUUAUCGCCUGGCAGAUAAGGGACAAAUUGAAGAAGAAAUCUGAGUCUUCUUCCCACUCUGCCUAGACACAUCUUACUCUUCACCGCUGCAAGUUUCGCGCACCGCUUCCCAGCCAGGUCUGCUCCCCUUCCACCCCACCCUCCUCUCCGUCCCUGGAUUUCCCCUCACGGAGUUCUUCCGAGCCGCUGUAGCAGCAGGCGAGGCUCGGGGCCCCGCUCCGGACCGCGCGGCUCCAGAGCCGCCCCGGGGGCUCGUUUGGGGCUGGGAACACGAGGGGACCCUUCUAUCCCGGGAGCCGCAGAGGAGUUGGCUUCCAACGCUACCGGUCCUGCCGGAGGACGCCCUAAAGGAAGCAGGACGAAGGAGUGAAGACUGCCGGGGUCACUUUCAAUUGAGACUGUCUCCCUCCAUUGGAACAGUGACAGCUCUUCCUGGUGGUAUUUCUAAGCUCAUAUGCAGGAUGUUGAAGAGACUGUCUCACACAAAAGUCUUCAAAGGCUGCAGGGACUUCUUUGGCAGUGAGAACUAAAGCAUGACUGCCAUCCAGGAAGUGACUGGUUUUUUCCUUCCAUUUCCCUGAAAAACUUGUGAAAUUCCUGAGAAGCACAACUUUUUUCUGAAGUUCUGAAGAUUUUUUCUGAGUUCUGAAGCUCAUAUGAACAAAAAGGAGGACAUUUUUUUUUUUAGCUCUGC